UGGGGAAUCUUGCGCAAUGGGCGAAAGCCUGACGCAGCCAUGCCGCGUGAAUGAUGAAGGUCUUAGGAUUGUAAAAUUCUUUCACCGGGGACGAUAAUGACGGUACCCGGAGAAGAAGCCCCCGGCUAACUUCGUGCCAGCAGCCGCGGUAAUACGAAGGGGGGCUAGCGUUGCUCGGAAUUACUGGGCGUAAAGGGAGCGUAGGCGGACAUUUAAGUCAGGGGUGAAAUCCCGGGGCUCAACCUCGGAAUUGCCUUUGAUACUGGGUGUCUUGAGUGUGAGAGAGGUAUGUGGAACUCCGAGUGUAGAGGUGAAAUUCGUAGAUAUUCGGAAGAACACCAGUGGCGAAGGCGACAUACUGGCUCAUUACUGACGCUGAGGCUCGAAAGCGUGGGGAGCAAACAGGAUUAGAUACCCUGGUAGUCCACGCCGUAAACGAUGAUUGCUAGUUGUCGGGAUGCAUGCAUUUCGGUGACGCAGCUACGCAUUAAGCAAUCCGCCUGGGGAGUACGGUCGCAAGAUUAAAACUCAAAGGAAUUGACGGGGUCAUAGCUGUUUCCUG
rnacentral:rRNA from 1 species